rnacentral:rRNA from 1 species
AACGAACGCUGGCGGCAUGCCUAACACAUGCAAGUCGAACGAGACCUUCGGGUCUUGUGGCGCACGGGUGCGUAACGCGUGGGAACCUUCCCUUAGGUUCGGAAUAACUCCCCGAAAGGGGUGCUAAUACCGGAUAAUGUCUUCGGACCAAAGAUUUAUCGCCUUUGGAUGGGCCCGCGUUGGAUUAGCUAGUUGUUAGGGUAAAAGCCUACCAAGGCGACGAUCCACAGCUUGUCUGAGAGGAUGAUCAGCCACACUGGGACUGAGACACGGCCCAGACUCCUACGGGAGGCAGCAGUGGGGAAUAUUGGACAAUGGGCGAAAGCCUGAUCCAGCAAUGCCGCGUGAGUGAUGAAGGCCUUAGGGUUGUAAAGCUCUUUUACCCGGGAUGAUAAUGACAGUACCGGGAGAAUAAGCUCCGGCUAACUCCGUG